rnacentral:rRNA from 2 species
CUAAUACAUGCAAGUCGAACGAACUCUGGUAUUGAUUGGUGCUUGCAUCAUGAUUUACAUUUGAGUGAGUGGCGAACUGGUGAGUAACACGUGGGAAACCUGCCCAGAAGCGGGGGAUAACACCUGGAAACAGAUGCUAAUACCGCAUAACAACUUGGACCGCAUGGUCCGAGUUUGAAAGAUGGCUUCGGCUAUCACUUUUGGAUGGUCCCGCGGCGUAUUAGCUAGAUGGUGGGGUAACGGCUCACCAUGGCAAUGAUACGUAGCCGACCUGAGAGGGUAAUCGGCCACAUUGGGACUGAGACACGGCCCAAACUCCUACGGGAGGCAGCAGUAGGGAAUCUUCCACAAUGGACGAAAGUCUGAUGGAGCAACGCCGCGUGAGUGAAGAAGGGUUUCGGCUCGUAAAACUCUGUUGUUAAAGAAGAACAUAUCUGAGAGUAACUGUUCAGGUAUUGACGGUAUUUAACCAGAAAGCCACGGCUAACUACGUGCCAGCAGCCGCGGUAAUACGUAGGUGGCAAGCGUUGUCCGGAUUUAUUGGGCGUAAAGCGAGCGCAGGCGGUUUUUUAAGUCUGAUGUGAAAGCCUUCGGCUCAACCGAAGAAGUGCAUCGGAAACUGGGAAACUUGAGUGCAGAAGAGGACAGUGGAACUCCAUGUGUAGCGGUGAAAUGCGUAGAUAUAUGGAAGAACACCAGUGGCGAAAGCGGCUGUCUGGUCUGUAACUGACGCUGAGGCUCGAAAGUAUGGGUAGCAAACAGGAUUAGAUACCCUGGUAGUCCAUACCGUAAACGAUGAAUGCUAAGUGUUGGAGGGUUUCCGCCCUUCAGUGCUGCAGCUAACGCAUUAAGCAUUCCGCCUGGGGAGUACGGCCGCAAGGCUGAAACUCAAGGGAAUUGACGGGGGCCCGCACAAGCGGUGGAGCAUGUGGUUUAAUUCGAAGCUACGCGAAGAACAUUACCAGGUCUUGACAUACUAUGCCAAUCUAAGAGAUUAGAC